AUUGAACGCUGGCGGCAGGCCUAACACAUGCAAGUCGAAAGAGUGGCGGACGGGUGCGUAAUGUCUGGGAAACUGCCCGAUGGAGGGGGAUAACUACUGGAAACGGUAGCUAAUACCGCAUACCAUCGGAUGUGCCCAGAUGGGAUUAGCUAGUAGGUGGGGUAACGGCUCCCCUAGGCGACGCUCCCUAGCUGGUCUGAGAGGAUGACCAGCCACCCUGUAACUGAGACACGGUCCUGACUCCUACGAGAGGCAGCCUUGGGGAAUAUUGCACAAUGGGCGCAAUCCUGAUGCAGCCAUGCCGCGUGUAUGAAGAAGGCCUUCGGGUUGUAAAGUACUUUCAGCGAGGAGGCGUUACUCGCAGAAGAAGCACCGGCUAACUCCGUGCCAGCAGCCGCGGUAAUUC
rnacentral:rRNA from 1 species